UACAUAGGGCGCGAGCGUUGUCCGGAGUUACUGGGCGUAAAGCGCACGCAGGCGGUCUGCUAAGUUUGGAGUGACAGUUGGUGGCUUAACUGCCAAAGUGCUUCGAAAACUGACAGACUUGAGGGCUUCAGAGGGACACGGAAUUCCGGGUGGAGUGGUGAAAUGCGUAGAGAUCCGGAGGAACACCAAAGGCGAAGGCAGUGUCCUGGGGAGUACCUGACGCUCAGGUGCGAAAGCCAGGGGAGCGAACGGG
rnacentral:rRNA from 1 species